UUCUCUAUAUGACUAUAAUACAGCUUAUACUGUAAUAUAUCCUUUUAGGAAAUACCCAUUGAUGGAUAUUUGGAUUGUUCCCAGGUUUCGGAUAUAAUGUAUAAAGCUGCUUAGAUGAGCAUUUGUGGCAAUAUGCUUUCAUUUGGCUAGUGCCUGGCAACGGAACUGCUGGAUCAUGAGGAGACGUGUAUUAAUUCUAUAAGAAUCUGCUUCAGAGUUUUCAGCGCGGUCACGCCACUGAUCCCGCCCACAGUGUCUGAGACGCACCAGCCCUACAUCUGCUGUUCUCUGUCCUUUCAGCGGCAGCCGUUUUGCUGUUUCCUGCCGGGCCUUGCAGAGUCUUGCCCUGGCUUGGGAAAUGCAGCCUGUGGCUAAGGACGCCCCUGGGCCCUCGCCGGAGAUCUCUGCCUGCCCUCCCUUCCCCGUGCAGCGGCUCCUCUGACAACACCAUCUUUCUCAGCCGCUCCAAGCUCCAAUCUCUGCUCCUGGGCACAGUGAGAUCAUGACUCCCCUCAGUGCACCCCCCCACCCGCAGAAACUGGAGUUUCGGGGGCAGGGGGCACGCAGCUCACACUGCUUCCUGCUUGUGGGGAUGGCAGCCUCUCCUGGCUGUGGCUCGCUUCCUGCAAAGAACCGUCUUACAUGAUUUGCUCUGUUUACAAUUGUUUUCAUGGGAGGGUGAGUCUGAAACCAGGUCAGCCCAUCAUGGCUGAAGUCCGGGACCUUCUUCUGAUCUGCUCCUUGAAGUAUGCAGGUUCCUCUGCCCUCUGCUUCCUGUCAGUGUAUGUUCUUCACCCUGCAGGGUUGCCACACCUGGGCUUUGCUCUCUGCGUCCCACUGGCGCUCUCUGUCCUUCGUGACUCCGCCUCACUGCUAGUUCCCCCUAGAGCCCGAAUCCCAUUCUGAUUGACUUUUUCCAGACCACUCAGUCUUUAUUUUUUUGUGAUACGUGUAGCCUUUGAUGAUCAUUGCCUGGAUUUAUUUUUCAUUAAAGAUCUGCCUACUCGUGA